GAUGAACGCUGGCGGCGUGCCUAAUACAUGCCAGUCGAGCGAACAGACGAGGAGCUUGCUCCUCUGACGUUAGCGGCGGACGGGUGAGUAACACGUGGAUAACCUACCUAUAAGACUGGGAUAACUUCGGGAAACCGGAGCUAAUACCGGAUAAUAUAUUGAACCGCAUGGUUCAAUGGUGAAAGACGGUUUUGCUGUCACUUAUAGAUGGAUCCGCGCCGCAUUAGCUAGUUGGUAAGGUAACGGCUUACCAAGGCAACGAUGCGUAGCCGACCUGAGAGGGUGAUCGGCCACACUGGAACUGAGACACGGUCCAGACUCCUACGGGAGGCAGCAGUAGGGAAUCUUCCGCAAUGGGCGAAAGCUUGACGGAGCAACGCCGCGUGAGUGAUGAAGGUCUUCGGAUCGUAAAACUCUGUUAUUAGGGAAGAACAAAUGUGUAAGUAACUAUGCACGUCUUGACGGUACCUAAUCAGAAAGCCACGGCUAACUACGUG
rnacentral:rRNA from 1 species